UCUCGAUUGGUCUAGUGGUAAGGAUACCUGCUUGUCAUCCCCAUCACCCGGGCAAAUACGCAGGUGGCCGGGGUUCGAUUCCCCGAUCGAGAG